rnacentral:rRNA from 1 species
UACAGAGGGUGCGAGCGUUGUCCGGAAUCACUGGGCGUAAAGGGCGCGUAGGCGGCCUGGUAAGUAGGGGGUGAAAACUCAUGGCUCAACUGUGAGGCUGCCUUCUAGACUGCCGGGCUUGAGCAUGGUAGAGGCUGGUGGAAUUCCCGGUGUAGCGGUGGAAUGCGUAGAGAUCGGGAAGAACAUCCGUGGCGAAGGCGGCCAGCUGGGCCAUCUACUGACGCUCAGGCACGAAAGCGUGGGGAGCAAACAGG